UACGAAGGGGGCUAGCGUUGCUCGGAAUCACUGGGCGUAAAGCGCACGUAGGCGGAUUGCUAAGUCAGGGGUGAAAUCCUGGAGCUCAACUCCAGAACUGCCCUUGAUACUGGCGAGCUUGAGUUCGGGAGAGGUGAGUGGAACUGCGAGUGUAGAGGUGAAAUUCGUAGAUAUUCGCAAGAACACCAGUGGCGAAGGCGGCUCACUGGCCCGAUACUGACGCUGAGGUGCGAAAGCGUGGGGAGCAAACAGG
rnacentral:rRNA from 1 species